rnacentral:rRNA from 1 species
UACGUAGGGACCAAGCGUUGUCCGGAAUCAUUGGGCGUAAAGCGCUCGCAGGUGGUUCGCUGCGUCGUGCGUGAAAGACCUCGGCUCAACUGGGGGAUGUCGUGCGAUACGGGCGGACUGGAGGCCAGUAGGGGGAUGCGGAAUUCCGGGUGUAGUGGUGGAAUGCGUAGAGAUCCGGAGGAACACCAGCGGCGAAGGCGGCAUCCUGGACUGGUCCUGACACUCAGGAGCGAAAGCGUGGGGAGCGAGUCCGG